rnacentral:rRNA from 1 species
GACGUGCUAAUCUGCGAUAAGCGUCGGUGAGGUGAUAUGAACCGUUAUAACCGGCGAUUUCCGAAUGGGGAAACCCAGUGUGUUUCGACACACUAUCAUUAACUGAAUCCAUAGGUUAAUGAGGCGAACCGGGGGAACUGAAACAUCUAAGUACCCCGAGGAAAAGAAAUCAACCGAGAUUCCCCCAGUAGCGGCGAGCGAACGGGGAGGAGCCCAGAGCCUGAAUCAGUGUGUGUGUUAGUGGAAGCGUCUGGAAAGGCGCGCGAUACAGGGUGACAGCCCCGUACACAAAAAUGCACAUAUUGUGAGCUCGAUGAGUAGGGCGGGACACGUGGUAUCCUGUCUGAAUAUGGGGGGACCAUCCUCCAAGGCUAAAUACUCCUGACUGACCGAUAGUGAACCAGUACCGUGAGGGAAAGGCGAAAAGAACCCCGGCGAGGGGAGUGAAAAAGAACCUGAAACCGUGUACGUACAAGCAGUGGGAGCCUCUUAAUGGGGUGACUGCGUACCUUUUGUAUAAUGGGUCAGCGACUUAUAUUCUGUAGCAAGGUUAACCGAAUAGGGGAGCCGAAGGGAAACCGAGUCUUAACUGGGCGUUAAGUUGCAGGGUAUAGACCC